GUUUUAAAAAGCGUCUUUACAUGUUCGCAUUCUUCCCUCCCCAUUCAGGCUCAAGUGAACUUGUGACCAAAUCACUUAUUCCAUAAUCAGUGCAAAAGACCUCAGAUGUCACUGCACUCCGCUCUGUUGUUCUCAAAGGCAUUCCCAUUUUACUUGGUGAUGACUCCAGUGGAUUGUACAUGACAUGCUUUGAUACAGCAAAAGAUGAGGCCCUGGCAUCUGUCACAGUUGGCGUACUAAGUGUUCUCAGUGAAGACAGUCCUCAGGAGGGUCCAAGUUCAAUGCACCUUCAGCCCAUCUCGACUGUCAUUGUACUUGAGGGAGGUAUUGUUGUCAACAAUAUUAAAGACUUUCCUUGGGCAGUUUGCUUGUUGUUUGGACUUGCAUAUGCUUUGCAUUUGGAUUACCCAAAAUUUAUGGCAAACACAUUCAAAUUCAUCCAAACUGUGAUGCUUGGAUUGGGGAACAAAACCCUCCCAGCAAAACUGCUCACUCUGAAAAACAAGCUUUUGGAGUAGUGAAGAGUCAUGAGCUAUCCAGUAACAUGAGGUAACCUUGAGAGAAUACUAAGAUACUCUUGUGAGAGAAACGUGGAAAUAUUAUGCACUUUGUUAUAAAAAAUGUUAGGCCAUUUUUUGAAAUGUUCUUAUGGGUAGCUAAAUUCUUUGUCAAAUUUCACUCAGUGAGUUUUGUGAAAUGGUGCUGGUUAAUUUUUAGUUCACUGGAAUGGUUUUACAGUGGUUGCAAUAGUACGCCCCUGUGGCUGCAAGCGUUGAUUGCUCAUUGUAUUUUUUUUAAGUAAGACAUACAAGGCAAGAACAAUUUGCCAGAAAUGACUCAGGCCAAUAUUGUGCAUUGUUCCAUCUAUGCCCUGAAGAAAAUGUGUUGGCCCUUGUCAAAAAGUAAGACUUUAUUUGGGUGAAAAAAAUCACAGCAGCUCAAUGAAACAAACACAUUUUAGUCAAUGGCUU